rnacentral:rRNA from 1 species
GAUGAACGCUGGCGGCAUGCCUAAUACAUGCAAGUCGAGCGAACCGACGAGGACCUUGCUCCCCUGACGUUAGCAGCGGACGGGUGAGUACCACGUGGAUAACCUAACUCUACGAAUGGGAUACCUUCGGGAAACAGGAGCUAAUACCGGAUCAUAUAUUGCACUGCAUGGUUCACUAGUGAAAGUAGGUUUUGCUGUCCCUUAUAGCUGGCUCCGCGCCGCAUUCGCUAGUUGGUAAGGUAACGGCUUACCAAGGCAACGAUGCGUAGCCGACCUGAGCGCGUGUUCGGCCACACUGGAUCUCAGACACGUCCCCGACUCCUACGGGGGGCAGCAGUCGCGACUCUUCCGCAAUGUGCGAAAGGCUGACGGUGCAACCCCGCCUGAGGGAUGAUGGUCUUCUGAUCGUAAACCUCUGUUAGUAUGUAAGAACAAAUGUGUAAGUAACUAGGCACAUCUUGACGGUACCUAAUCAGAAAGCCCCGGCUAACUACGUG